CUACGGGAUGCACCAGUGGGGAAUAUUGCACAAUGGGCGAAAGCCUGAUGCAGCAACGCCGCGUGGAGGAUGACGCAUUUCGGUGUGUAAACUCCUUUUAUAUGUCAAGAAAAUGACGGUAGCAUAUGAAUAAGCACCGGCUAACUCCGUGCCAGCAGCCGCGGUAAUACGGAGGGUGCAAGCGUUACUCGGAAUCACUGGGCGUAAAGGACGCGUAGGCGGGUUGGAAAGUCAGGUGUGAAAUCCUACAGCUUAACUGUAGAACUGCACUUGAAACUUCUAAUCUAGAGUAUGGGAGGGGGAGAUGGAAUUAGUGGUGUAGGGGUAAAAUCCGUAGAUAUCACUAGGAAUACCUAAAGCGAAGGCGAUCUCCUGGAACAUUACUGACGCUAAGGCGUGAAAGCGUGGGGAGCAAACAGGAUUAGAUACCCGAGUAGUC
rnacentral:rRNA from 1 species